rfam:Ovis aries breed Texel chromosome 15, whole genome shotgun sequence.
UCCCUGGUGGUCCAGUGGUUAGAACUUGGUACUCUGAGUGCCAAGGGCUUGGGUUCAAUCCCCGAUCAGGGAA